UUUAGGGGAGGGGUCACUAUCGAUUUCGAUCGAUAGAUGGCUAAUUAGAAUAUUAGUGUCGUCUGCUUUCAUUUGGUUACACUCAGAUUUGGAUUAAAAGAGAGAAUAAUAAGAGACAAAAGUUCGUGCAAAAUUACGAAGAAAAACGGAACGAUGAAAGCUGUUGGCUGCACGAAAAAAAGGAUUUCAGGCCUGAGCCAUCACAGCAUUAAGAUAUGCCAGUUUUGCUUUUGCUGGCAUUGACCUGUCAUCACCAUCAAUCUCAGCAUCAUCGGUUGGAUCAACAGUAUCCUGUUUGAUUGGAAAUACUACACGUUAAGCUACGGAUCUCUUCUUCCCCUUUCUUUUUAAAAUGUCCCCGUGUACGCCCAUGCGAGUGUGGGUGUAUUCACGAGGACGCCCUUUAUCCUAUCCCGCCUGGUGUAAUUCUCAACUUUUCUCCGGAUGGAUCACUUGCUGUGGAUGUCUGGCUGUAUUUCCCAGGCUUCAAGCGCAGGGGCUGUGCUGACGAGCGGAUGGCAAAACCCGGCGAGUGAUGAUGGAUGAUGAAUCUCUUCUCUCAGUCUCACACACACAGCGUCCUUCUUCUUCUUCUUGGGCUAUGCUCCUCCUCCUCCCAACGAUGAUAACGAUAUUUUAUACAUGCAGCAGCAGCAGCUAUACAGGCCAACAUAAACCAGCUUUUUUUUUAAUAAUAUUUUUCCUAUAUAGAUGUGAUCCGUGUGUGUUCAAAAACAAGGCAACUGCAGCAGCAGCAGCAGCUGAUGAUGAGGCGACUGUAUAGAGUCGGGUCCAAUCAUCUACCAGGCCAAAGCAACAGCUUCUAUCGCUCCGGGGACAGAAAAUGCCUAGCAAAGUGGUAGGGGGAUAGCUCAGCAGCUCAUCGAUGAUCAUCAUCUCUCUCUCUCUUGCUUGCUCUCGCUCGUGAACAAUUUUUUGACUCAUUGGAAUGACAAUACAGUUGUGUGGAGGGUUUUUGAUUCGUGCUGGAGCCCUAUGGGGGGAAAAACGUAGAACAACAGCCAGUUGCGAGCAGAGCAGAGAGAGAGAGAGAGGCGAAGUUUGAAACCUUUCGGGAGCCGACUUGAUGGAUGAGGGAAAUUUAUUCGUCAGAAAACGAUGGCGAUGAUGAUGAUGAUGAUGAUGACAGUUUGCCCAAGCGCAGCACAUACACACACACACACAGCGAGACCUUCCUUCUUUUUUUUUUCAUAACUCUAGCGCGGUCCCAUCUGUUUUUUUCUUUUGUUUUUCCAUUUGGCUCAGAGACAAACAUUAUAUACGCUCACACAAGCUCUGGGUGGCGCGCAGAAAUGAUUUAACAUUUUUUUUAUUUUUAUUUUUCAAAAACUGGUUUUUUGGCGCGGUUUGAAAUUAAAUUUUGGCCAGCGGGGAAAAGAACACGGAGACGGGGGCGUGACGUCAUCUGGGCGAUAUCAAGUUGGACUGCGCUUAUAGAAACUUUGUGUGAGCUUUGUGUGAAAAAUAUAUGAUCACGUCAAAAUGGCCGCAGCUCUUGUUAUAGUUGAUUUCCAUAAAAGAAUCGUUUGAUAUAUUUAUACAGAGCGACCGUAGCGACGACCAAUCUUACUAACCCCGCCAUGCCUAUGUAAUAUAAAUAAUCUCCGUCGUGUCUUGUGUAAACCCCGAUAGAUCGAUAGUAAUAACUUCCAAUCAUCAGCUGACCCCAGUGAACAAAUAACCGAAGAAAAAUAAAUUUUGUCCAGGGGAUGAAUAUAAGAAAAGACGCGAUCAUCAAUCGGCUUUCAAGAUAACCAACUCCCCCAGCAGAUAUUUCUUUUAUAUGCUGCCCUUUUCUGUUUGAUCAUUCAAUGAUGAAUAGCCACCGGUGUAGAUGGUAGUAGCCUCUACAAGAACGAACAACUCCCCCCAUCGAGUUGUUGGGGGAUAGACCGGGGGUCGAAACACUCCCUUUACAGAAGAGCAGAAGAAUAUCCAAAAAUCUGCACUCUCUUUCUUGGAAUUAUGACAAAUAAUAACAUGGGAACCCUGUUGGCUUUAGCCCUUAGGUUUGGCCAAGGGUCCAUCUGAAACAGCAUUUAAUUACUCUGGGUCUGGAGACUGGAGGUGAAAAAUCUAAAAUUGAAAGACCUGGAGGCAAUCAGUCACCGGCAUGGGUCUUGUGCUGGAACAUCAACAGAACUAACCAAGCUGACGUGCAUCUAGUUAUGACAAGAAACAAUUGUCGGAACAAUUGCGUGUUGGGUUUGCAACAUCAAUAAGCGGAUAGCUGUGUUCUCGGAUGCAUGACCAGUUGGCCACAUGAUAUUCUUUAGAACCAAAUUGCCAAAAGGUCAUCAAUAGAUUGCAGAAGGCAGAGCUACCAGAAGGUUGGAAAUGAUUCCACCUGAAGGUCAAGAUCUUUACGUAAAAGUACGCAGAGAACCGGAGACCCAAGUGCCAAUCAACCUCUGCUUCAUCAUCAUGUCUUCAUCGUUAUUGCGCGUAUCUAAAAAAA
rnacentral:lncRNA from 1 species